UACGGGGGGGGCAAGCGUUGUUCGGAAUUACUGGGCGUAAAGGGCUCGUAGGUUGCCAACUAAGUCAGACGUGAAAUCCCUCGGCUUAACCGGGGAACUGCGUCUGAUACUGGAUGGCUUGAGUUCGGGAGAGGGAUGCGGAAUUCCAGGUGUAGCGGUGAAAUGCGUAGAUAUCUGGAGGAACACCGGUGGCGAAGGCGGCAUCCUGGACCGACACUGACACUGAGGCGCGAAAGCGUGGGGAGCAAACAGG
rnacentral:rRNA from 1 species